GACGAACGCUGGCGGCGUGCCUAAUACAUGCAAGUAGAACGCACAGUUUAUACCGUAGCUUGCUACACCAUAGACUGUGAGUUGCGAACGGGUGAGUAACGCGUAGGUAACCUGCCUGGUAGCGGGGGAUAACUAUUGGAAACGAUAGCUAAUACCGCAUAAUAUUAAUUAUUGCAUGAUAAUUGAUUGAAAGAUGUAACUGCAUCACUACCAGAUGGACCUGCGUUGUAUUAGCUAGUAGGUGAGGUAACGGCUCACCUAGGCGACGAUACAUAGCCGACCUGAGAGGGUGAUCGGCCACACUGGGACUGAGACACGGCCCAGACUCCUACGGGAGGCAGCAGUAGGGAAUCUUCGGCAAUGGACGAAAGUCUGACCGAGCAACGCCGCGUGAGUGAAGAAGGUUGUCGGAUCGUAAAGCUCUGUUGUAAGAGAAGAACGGGUGUGAGAGUGGAAAGUUCACACUGUGACGGUAUCUUACCAGAAAGGGACGGCUAACUACGUG
rnacentral:rRNA from 1 species